ensembl:lncRNA
GAUUCUGUGAGAUUCUGCAACACACCCAUAUAUGUAUGAUGAUAUUAUUGAGUGAUACAGAGCACUGCAGGAAUUCAUUUUUGUAGACCAAAUCCUAAAGACAUUGAUUGUAGCAGUUCCAAUUCCAUCAUUCUGAAGUCUAUGUUUUUUUUUUUAAUGGGUUUUUGGUGAAAUGGCUGAUAUUUUUAGGUUUUAUUGGACAACAUAAAAUAAACCAGUAAUUUUGCCUUGUGAUUUUAGCUGUCUUGAAAAGAUGCUUGCUAACAAGAGGCUAUAAGGGACUACAAAGUUUUUGGAGGACAUUAAACAUCAUCACGCCGAACAGCUCCAGAUCAACAUACACGAAUGCAAAUGAGAGAGAACCAGCGGGGAACAUAGAUCACAGCCGCCGUGUGCAUGUGUGUGCGUCACAGGAGAGAUGGAGGCUGGAGUACUAAUCACUGGAACGCAGACAGUUAACAGCCCGAGAUCC